rfam:Brachypodium distachyon strain Bd21 chromosome 1, whole genome shotgun sequence.
UUAGUACUCACUCCGUCCCAUAAUUCUUGUCGAAAUAUUACAUGUAUCUAGACACUUUUAGAAAUAGAUACAUCCAUAUUUAGACAAAUUUGAGACAAGAAUUAUGGGACGGAGGAAGUAGUUU